CGAGUCAGCCAAGAUGAUCGCUGCCUGUGACGAAAAUGAUCAGGGGGAGGAAAGUCCGGGCUCCAUAGGGCAGGGUGCCAGCUAACGGCUGGGGGGCGCGAGCCCACGACAAGUGCAGCAGAGAGGAGACCGCCAAUCUUCGGAUUGGUAAGGGUGAAAGGGUGCGGUAAGAGCGCACCGGGCCACUAGUAAUAGUUGGUUGCAAGGUAAACUCCACCCGGAGCAAGACCAAAUAGGGUUCUAUCAUUUUAAAUAAUGAACGCGUGGCCCACGUGAGAACCGGGUAGGUUGCUUGAGCCAUAGAGCGAUUUAUGGCCUAGACGAAUGAUUAUCACUUUCUUCGGAAAGGACAAAACCCGGCUUAUAGGCUGACUCACUCA
rfam:Pseudoalteromonas porphyrae strain TCD-SED14 scaffold_1, whole genome shotgun sequence.